UACGAAGGGGGCUAGCGUUGUUCGGAUUUACUGGGCGUAAAGGGCGCGUAGGCGGUGCGAUAAGUCAGGCGUGAAAGCCCCGGGCUCAACCCGGGAAUAGCGCUUGAUACUGUUGCGCUUGAAUCCAGGAGAGGAUGGCGGAAUUCCCAGUGUAGAGGUGAAAUUCGUAGAUAUUGGGAAGAACACCAGUGGCGAAGGCGGCUCACUGGCCCGAUACUGACGCUGAGGUGCGAAAGCGUGGGGAGCAAACAGG
rnacentral:rRNA from 1 species